rnacentral:misc_RNA from 1 species
AAUUUAAAUCAUUAAAAGUGCUCUCAAAUAUAGGCCCUAAUUAAAGCUCUCUGCUAUAUUAAAACAAAUCUUUCUUGCCUCCUUUUCCAUACGUUAUGUAGAAACUGGAGCAAAUGUAUCUUAACAGACAGGACUGCUAUAGAUAAAGAACAAGACAGGCUCAGUCAAUUGCAAUUAUUAUAAAAACAUGUCCAACCAGUCCUCUAAUAGUAUAGAAACUCUGUGAUCUUUUUAGCACAACCAGCUUAUAGAAACUCUUUGCUCGUAAGAACAAUACAGUAGCAACAAGAAUUCCAAGUACAGUGGUAGACUGGUAGGCUGGCAGCUAAGCACUGGAUUGCUCCAAGCAUGUGCACCACUGGUCCAUCAAGACCUCCACCAGUUGCAGUAGCAGCCAGCCAAUAAAAGCGGAGCA